UCGAACGGCAGCACAGGAGAGCUUGCUCUCUGGGUGGCGAGUGGCGGACGGGUGAGGAAUACAUCGGAAUCUACUUUUUCGUGGGGGAUAACGUAGGGAAACUUACGCUAAUACCGCAUACGACCUACGGGUGAAAGCAGGGGAUCUUCGGACCUUGCGCGAUUGAAUGAGCCGAUGUCGGAUUAGCUAGUUGGCGGGGUAAAGGCCCACCAAGGCGACGAUCCGUAGCUGGUCUGAGAGGAUGAUCAGCCACACUGGAACUGAGACACGGUCCAGACUCCUACGGGAGGCAGCAGUGGGGAAUAUUGGACAAUGGGCGCAAGCCUGAUCCAGCCAUACCGCGUGGGUGAAGAAGGCCUUCGGGUUGUAAAGCCCUUUUGUUGGGAAAGAAAUCCAGCUGGCUAAUACCCGGUUGGGAUGACGGUACCCAAAGAAU
rnacentral:rRNA from 2 species